UUCGGUAAGUGUUUCUGUUAAUAUGUUAAUAACUAUAAUGAGCAUGAAACCCUAAAAAGACUGAUCAAAUUACUAAAAUACCUCUUUAAGGUAUAAUUACCGUAAUACCCCUGAAGGGGUAAGUUUACGAUUACGCCCCUCGGGGGUAAAUAACUGUUCUUACGCUAUAAUCUGACUGUCUUUCUUAAGCAUGCCUUGUUAAUUAUAUAUAUUCUGCAUACAUGUCAUAC
rnacentral:lncRNA from 1 species